rnacentral:rRNA from 1 species
GUAGCAAAUAGCUCCGUAACACGUGGUCAAACUACCCUCUGGACCGGGAUACCCUCGGGAAACUGAGGUCAAUCCCAGAUACUGCUUUCAUGUUGGAAUACAGAAAGUCGGAAACGGUCCGCCGCCGGAGGACGUGACUGCGGCCGAUUAGGUAGACGGUGGGGUAACGGCCCACCGUGCCGAUAAUCGGUACGGGUUGUGAGAGCAAGAACCCGGAGACGGUAUCUGAGACAAGAUACCGGGCCCUACGGGGCGCAGCAGGCGCGAAACCUUUACACUGCACGCCAGUGCGAUAAGGGGACCCCGAGUGCGAGGGCAUACAGUCCUCGCUUUUCGUGACCGUAAGAAGGUCUCAGAAUAAGAGCUGGGCAAGACCGGUGCCAGCCGCCGCGGUAAUACCGGCAGCUCGAGUGAUAGCCACUAUUAUUGGGCCUAAAGCGUCCGUAGCCGGCCGAACAGGUCCGUCGGGAAAUCCACCCGCUCAACGGGUGGACGUCCGGCGGAAACCAGUCGGCUUGGGGCCGGGAGACCAGAGAGGUACGUCCGGGGUAGGAGUGAAAUCCUGUAAUCCUGGACGGACCGCCGGUAGCGAAAGCGUCUCUGGAGAACGGACCCGACGGUGAGGGACGAAAGCUUGGGUCUCGAACCGGAUUAGAUACCCGGGUAGUCCAAGCUGUAAACGAUGCUCGCUAGGUGUGGCGUUGGCUACGAGCCAGCGCUGUGCCGUAGGGAAGCCGAGAAGCGAGCCGCCUGGGAAGUACGUCCGCAAGGAUGAAACUUAAAGGAAUUGGCGGGGGAGCACUACAACCGGAGGAGCCUGCGGUUUAAUUGGACUCAACGCCGGACAUCUCACCGGCACCGACAGUGUGCAGUGA